rnacentral:RNase_P_RNA from 1 species
UCAGGUAAAGAAGUAGUUGCUGUAUUAAAUUACAGAGGAAAGUCUGGACUCCAAGGGAAAAUGGUGACAGGUAACCCCUGUCGAAGGUAACUUUAGGUUAGGGCCACAGAAAAUAACCGCCUAUAUAAGGUAAGGGUGAAAAGGUGUGGUAAGAGCACACCGUACUUAUGGUAACAUAUAGUAGCUAGGUAACCACCACCAGGAGCAAGACUAAGAAGAGAUAUUGUGUUUUCCCUCACUAUUAUCCGGGUAAGUCGCAUGAGGUAAAUAGUAAUAUUUAUCCCAGAUGAAUAACUACAUAAACAAAAUCCAGCUUAUCUUUACCUGAUUUA